CCUCGUCCUCUAGCUCGGCGCGGACCUCCUCCCACCCGGCGCCGCCCCGCCUCAUCCUCCUCCCGCCCGGCGCGACCCUCCUUCCACCUGGUGCCGCCCCGCCUCCUCCUUCUCCCAGCCGGCGCGCCUCUGUCACGCAGUGCCGCCCUGGCGAUGGCCCGGGCCCCGCCCCACUCCAGCUACCUGGUGCCGCCCCGCCUCCUCCCCCUUCUGACCGGCGCGCCUCCGUCCCGCAGCGCCGCCCUGGUGAUGGCCCCGGCCCCGCCCCACUCCAGCCCCGGCCGCGCCCUGGCAGUUUGCAUCUACUACUGUGAGUGUGUGUGCAGUCCACGCCCCCUCCUCUGCUUCAGCUCCCGUGCAACCUCCCGAUGCAGUUCAUCGCACCAACCCCCUGCAGCUCUCUCGUCCUCAAUCCAUGGAUCCCGCGCCGGAUCUGGGUUCUUCCCUCCUGGGUCCUGCCUACUUAUCUACACCAGCAGGGCGCCGGUCACAGGAUCUGCCCCCCCCCCCCCCCCCCCCCCCCCCCCCCCCCCCAUUUGCAGCUCCUUUGAUUCUUUUUUGCAGCUCGCUGUGUUUUGUUUUGAAGUUCAGUGAGACCCAUGGCGCCGGGUCACGUGUUGCCGAUCCCUCUGCAUGCCUCCCCGCACGUGAGGUGUUGUGCUGUGUAGGGAGGUGUCUACACUAGCGUCGGUGCCCGUUCCACCACGGGGUGAGUUACUCACCCCGUGGGCAUUUACUUCAGUGGGGAGUCACCAUGCAGCUCGGGCAGCACACGCGUGUGGUUCGGUCAUGCGUGGGAAUGCAGUGCACGGUCAGGCAGCACGUAUUCCCGUCCUGCGAUGCCGGCAUGCAGCCUGCCUGUGUCCCUCGACACAAUGCGAUGCAUCGCCAGUGUGCGGUUUGCGUGGGUCCUUUGAUGCGGUGCGGUCCAUCGCCAGCGUGCGGUUCGCCUGGGUCCUUCGAAGCAGUGUGUCAUCGGCGUUCAGUUCUAGACCUUUUUUCUUCCGAUUAUUCCUUGUGUACAACACUGUCAUGCGCCUGAGUCAUCGGUGCGGUGUAGCUGGGUGUUUUGUUGCAGUUCUUUAUUGUUGAUUUUUCAGAUUUACAAAGAUGUUGUAAGAAUUUUUUUUGAAAAAUUGAAGUUCAUUGUAAAAAAACAUUGAAUGUCA